rnacentral:rRNA from 1 species
UACGGAGGGGGUAGCGUUGUUCGGAAUUACUGGGCGUAAAGCGCGCGUAGGCGGAUUAGAAAGUUGGGGGUGAAAUCCCGGGGCUCAACCUCGGAACUGCCUCCAAAACUGCUAGUCUAGAGUUCGAGAGAGGUGAGUGGAAUUCCGAGUGUAGAGGUGAAAUUCGUAGAUAUUCGGAGGAACACCAGUGGCGAAGGCGGCUCACUGGCUCGAUACUGACGCUGAGGUGCGAAAGUGUGGGGAGCAAACAGG